rnacentral:lncRNA from 1 species
CCUAGUUUGGGAUUGGGUGGGAAGACCUCAUAAAAUAGUGAAGGGUAGACUGAGUCUUGAAUGACCUAAACAAAUAUAUAGAUAUAAUUGGCCAGCCCUCAGCUGGUCUCUGAUUAUGACCCGACCUGCUGAGAUAAAAUCCAGUGCAUCCUGUGCUACCUUGUUCAUGUCCCAGGAUUCAGUGACUUUGGGCAACUGAGGCUGUACAGGAAGCAUGGCUGGAGAGGCCCCAGGAAACUUACAAUCAUGGUGGAAAGCAAAGGGGAAGCAGACUGUACAGGAAGCAUGGCUGGGAGGCUUCAGGAAUUUACAAUCAUGGCAGAAGGCAAAGAGGAAACAAGCACAUCUUCUCAUGGUCAGCAGGAGAGAGAGAGUGAAGGGGUGCUGGUGAUGCAAUCAGACAAGUUCUCUGCUGUUCUGGAGUUUACAUUUGGAAGAAUUGUGUUAUAUACCAGGGAAGGAUGUGGUAACUCUCCUGAAACCUUCCCUUGGUCAUUGUCUUCUUCUUCUUCUCCUCCUCCCUUUUCUCCCUCUCUUCCCCCUCCUCCUUCUCCUCUUAUUCUUCUUCCUCCUUCUGUUUUUAAAUGAGGAAGCCCAUAGAAAAUAUUGUGACAGGGAGAAAUGGAUUUUAAAUAAGUAUGACUGAAAAAAAACUUUUACUAUAAUAGAAAAUCUUGGUGCUGAGGGAAGAAAUCCAAAAAAUUAAAAAUCUUCAGAAGGUAUGUCUUUGAACAGACAAA